UGAUAAAGGAGAGGUGGGGGGCAUGAGAGUUUGUCAAAAAUGAAAAAGGGGCCGUGAUGCCGAAAAGUUUGGAAACCACGGCUUUAGAGCAUGCAAACUAAGAAAUAUUCAGUCCAGGUCCUACAUUAACAAGUUGCUAUUCUUUAGUUUCUUAUUGCUGGAGAGCUGGUUUCAAAAGUAGAUAAUUAGCAAAUAAUGACUUUCCCUUUUUAAGUUAUAGCAAAUUUUGGAGUCAAAACUAAAGAAUCUCUUCUAAUAAAUUAAAUAUUCUGAACUGCUGACAGCCACAGAGUAGGAUUUUACCCCAGAAAGGUAACAAUUAAAUACAUGUAUUUCAACUGGAAAUUUUAUAUACAGAGUUUGCUACUGAAAUAAUGUGAAAUACUUAAUUGGGUGUCAUACCAGACUAAUGUGACAAAUCUAAUUAAAUGCAAUUAAUCUUAUACUCUGCUUUAAUUCCCUUUUCCUCGGCUUAAACGUUUUAGUACUGUGCAACUACUUUACUAUUGAUUAGGAGAAUUUGGGUCCAAGUACUAUUGCACUCAUGUCCAUUUUGAGCAACAAUAUAAUAUGGUCUUUUGCUAUUAAAAUAAUUACAUCAGUGAAAACAAUUUCCAGCAUAAGUUUAACUGCUCGACUGACAUGAUCAGAAAGUAAAGGCAAUCUACAGAACAGGAACAGCAUGGAUAGAGACAAGGCAGGUGUUAAGGAUAUGAGACUGCCUAGAAGAGCAUACCUGAAGCAGCAGCAGAUAUGGUCUAAUCCUGGAGCAUUCGGAACAGGAACAUCACCCAAACCAUCUCUUCCAUGAAAGAAAGCCCCUUCCACAGGACCACCAAGUAAGGGAGCAGAAGCACCUUGAUAAACUGGAAUCUAAACAAGAUAAACUUUAACUUGUUCUGGAAGCUGAAGAUGCUCUGAGGUCAGAAAUAAUCUUCCUUCCCUUGGAUUGCCAAAUUGAGAGUUUGCAGAUGCUGCAUAAUAUCAGUGAAAAACAUCAGAUCCUGCAUCCAUUGCUCAUCUUUCAGUUGUGGAUAGGACUUUUCCUUUUCUUCAAUGAAAGCACUGAUAGGCUCCAACAGUUCCACAAACCUAUUUAAGACAUUGCUGAUUGAUAACCACCUCACAAUACAGUAGAAAGAGACAUUGUUGGGUUUGUCUUCAAGAUCCAGCUCUUCAAUGACAUUUUUGAAUGUCAAUGAGUCUUCCCAUUUGAACGGAUGAAAUUGACAGUUUCUAGGACUAUUUUUGUAACACUUUCAUACUUGAAGUAUCUGCCUGUGAGAUGUUCGUGAUGGAUGAUGCAAUGAACAGGGAAGAACUCUGGAAAUUUGGGAUUGCUUUUCAAGUGUCCGAUAAGACCUACUUUUUCCCCCACCAUUGCAGGUGGGGAAAAUCAUCCAUUGCAACACUGACAAGUUUAUCCAGCGGUACAUCGGCAUUUAUCAAUGCUUCAUCAAGUGCAUUCUUUAUGUCAACAACACGGGUUGUUUCUUGUAGCACCAUUAAGUCCAAUAUUUCUUCUUUCACAAUUAAAUCUGUGGAAACAUAGCAAAUAAA